rnacentral:lncRNA from 1 species
GGAGCCGGUGCUCACGCCGGACGACGGCGGAAGAUGGCGGCGGCGAUGCUGGACCAAACCGAGCCCGCACGGGUCAGGGCGGACGCAGGAUGGAGGAGCGGCGGCCGGCGGUCCACGGGGAUGGCCGGGAUGGCGAGCAGCAGCGAGCGGGAGGUCGUCGGAGGCCGUGGGAAGACGCGCGGUUGGCGGGGAAUGGUGGUGGCGCGCGGAGGCAGGGAUCAUCCAAGCU